AUUAAUUAAUCUAAAAAAGGUAUCCAUCCAAUCUGUCCUCGAUCAUCCCCUUUUCUUGGAAUCUGAGCCCUAAACCAUGAUGCAGCUUCUCCUUUGAAGUCAAUCUCAGCUCCGAAGUAUUUGAUCUAGAAAAACAUGGUGACCACGUACCAGAGUGUUCGCGUGGCCGUAACACCGACGCAUGCUACGCGGACACAUGCGGACACACAACUUGAAAAGCUGAGCAUGGGACAGCUACUACAAGGGCAAUAGAUGGCGACUAGCAGUGCUGCGAUGGGCAGGGAAGAGGUGCAACAACGACGAAACAGUGGCAUGCAGGAUGUGGCGAGGAAUAGUGGCUGGUGGUGGACGAUGCUAUAAAUAGGCACAACAACGCCAGGUUAGGGCAUGUCCGAGUAGCAUACAUAUAUCUAUUCUGUUCUGUUUUUGCUUAGCGUCUAUAUAUCUAUCUUUGCGUUAAAGCAAGAAAAUAAUGCAUGAAAAAAGUUGAGUUUCAGCAGCACCAAAA